UUAAUAACAUUUUUUUUUAUUUACAAUAAGUUGCAUGUACAUAAUACAACCGUAUUGUACAUUUACAAUUUAAUAUAAAGAUUCUUUUUACAGCGCCUUCAUGAAUUGAAUAAAAUCACAAAAAAGCAAAAACACACCUAAUGUGCAAGACAUCAUUUUUGUAAUGUAGAAAAGGUACAUGAACAUGCUCUGAUCAGUGUAAAUACCUCCCAUAUUGUAAAUACGAACUUCCCAGAAGGCUUGAAAGCACUUAUCUGAAGUGAAUUAGCUGGCUGCUGUUUUCACAAGCUCUGUUGGUGAAUGUCUUGAUGGUUUUAUUAUGCUGUUUCUAGCAUGUCCUGAUCAUGGCGAAGAUGAUUUUGGCCUUCAUGAUCCCUGAUGAACCGGAUUGGGUCCGAAUCAAGAGAGAACAAAUCGAGUUUCACUCGAUGCAAGCGCUUAAGAAACAGAGGAUCAAGAGCUCUCGUGUGGAUGAUAAACUC